rnacentral:rRNA from 1 species
UACGGGGGGGGUAAGCGUUGUUCGGAAUUACUGGGCGUAAAGGGCUCGUAGGCGGCCAACUAAGUCGGACGUGAAAUCCCUCAGCUUAACUGGGGAACUGCGUCCGAUACUGAAUGGCUUGGAUUUGGGAGAGGGAUGCGGAAUUCCAGGUGUAGCGGUGAAAUGCGUAGAUAUCUGGAGGAACACCGGUGGCGAAGGCGGCAUCCUGGACCAACAUUGACGCUGAGGAGCGAAAGCUAGGGGAGCAAACGGG